rnacentral:rRNA from 1 species
CAGUCGCCGCGGUAAUACGGAGGGUGCAAGCGUUAAUCGGAAUUACUGGGCGUAAAGCGCACGCAGGCGGUUUGUUAGGUCAGAUGUGAAAUCCCCGAGCUUAACUUGGGAACUGCAUUUGAAACUGGCAAGCUAGAGUCUUGUAGAGGGGGGUAGAAUUCCAGGUGUAGCGGUGAAAUGCGUAGAGAUCUGGAGGAAUACCGGUGGCGAAGGCGGCCCCCUGGACAAAGACUGACGCUCAGGUGCGAAAGCGUGGGGAGCAAACAGGAUUAGAUACCCGCGUAGUCCCUGUCUCUUAUAC